UUCCACCUUAUCCUCUCCACCAACCCUCCAAUUUCGUUUUUCUUCAAGAAAUACAGAAACCAAAACCUCCCUUCUCUCACAUAUUCAUCCACCAAAUCGAUCAUCAAGACUUUCCUUGGUUGAUCCCCAAACAAACUCCACACGAUUGAGGUUGUUUAUAUCGUGUGCAAGUUGAAGAACUUGAGACAUUUGAUGGCCUACGGUUUGAACUUUUGAAGUCGUGUGGGACUGUUGAAUUGUUGUAUGCUAAAAGGGCUGAGGGCUCCGGUCCUUCUUGAGACUUGAUCAUGUUUGGUGUGAAGGCAUGACGUACACAUUGGGCGAAACUAAAUGUUAAAGCUUGUUAACGUGUUUUCAUGAAUUAUU